GUCGCGUCACAUCCGGGAGACUUAGAGCCCGAGCGGAGGCGGUGCGGAGCGUUUCUCCUCUCAGCGGCUCGGGAACCAGUGCGUGGUGCGGGGCCGCGGCUGAGCCUCUAGAUAGAAGGCGCAAGAGGUUGGCAGCUUCGAUUGAAGCACGUCGGGCGGCGACAGCAGCUAGAAGUCAUGAGCGACAGCGGCGAGCAGAACUACGGCGAGCGGGAAUCCCGUUCUGCUUCCAGAAGUGGAAGUGCUCAUGGAUCUGGGAAAUCUGCAAGGCAUACCCCUGCAAGGUCUCGCUCCAAGGAAGAUUCCAGGCGUUCCAGAUCAAAGUCCAGGUCCAGAUCUGAAUCUAGGUCUAGAUCCAGAAGAAGUUCUCGAAGGCAUUAUACAAGGUCACGAUCUCGGUCCCGCUCCCAUAGAAGAUCCCGUAGCAGAUCUUACAGUAGAGAUUAUCGAAGACGGCAUAGCCACAGUCAUUCUCCCAUGUCUACUCGAAGGCGUCAUGUUGGGAAUCGGGCAAAUCCUGAUCCCAACUGUUGUCUUGGAGUAUUUGGAUUGAGCUUAUACACUACAGAAAGAGAUCUAAGAGAAGUGUUCUCUAAAUAUGGCCCAAUUGCUGAUGUGUCUAUUGUAUAUGACCAGCAGUCUAGACGUUCAAGAGGAUUUGCCUUUGUAUAUUUUGAAAAUGUAGAUGAUGCCAAGGAAGCGAAAGAGCGUGCCAAUGGAAUGGAGCUUGAUGGACGUAGGAUCAGAGUUGAUUUCUCUAUAACAAAGAGACCACAUACCCCAACACCAGGAAUUUACAUGGGGAGACCUACCUAUGGCAGCUCACGCCGUCGAGAUUACUACGACAGGGGAUAUGAUCGAGGCUACGAUGAUCGGGACUAUUACAGCAGGUCAUACAGAGGAGGAGGUGGAGGAGGAGGAGGAUGGAGAGCUGCUCAAGACAGGGAUCAGAUAUACAGGACUAAAACAGACCUUGAAAUCCUGUGACUAAUGCAAUAUUUUUCAAGAAGACGGUCACCUUCUCCCUACUAUAGUCGUGGAGGAUACAGAUCACGUUCCAGAUCUCGAUCAUACUCACCUCGUCGCUAUUAAAGCAUGAAGUUGAAGACUUUCUGAAACCUGCCCUAGAGUUGGGAUAUUGUUUGUGGACAAUAUUUUUUAUUGUCUCCUGUUUAAAAAGUGAACAGUGCCUAGUGAAGUUAGGUGACUUUUACACCUUUUAUGAUGACUACUUUUGGUGGAGUUGAAAUGCUGUUUUCAUUCUGCAUUUGUGUAGUUCGGUGCUUUGUUCAAAGUUAAGUGUUUUCAGAAAAGUAUGUUUUGCAUGUAUUUUUUUACAGUCUAAAUUUUGACUGCUGAGAAGUUUCUAUUGUACAAAGCUUCAUUUAAAUGGUUUUUCUACUGAAUCCAGGGUAUUCUGAAGAUCGAAGCCUGUGUAAAAUGCUACCAAAUGGCAAAAAGCAACAAUAAAGUUUGGUUUUUACUUUUCUUUCUAACA